rnacentral:ncRNA from 1 species
CUCCUAAGUAGAGGUGCGCAAUUCAUAAGUAGUGUUAUUUAGGUAGCUCCAAUAAUAACAACACAAAAGGGAAUUGCGCCGAAGAAUGAAUUUUAAGCUAAAAAAAUUCAUUCUGGUGAUGUGUUCGAAUAGAGACAUCACUGUCAUAGUCAAUUUUAUAUUAACUAUGGGGCGCUACUAAAUAG